AAUUUGAAAAGGGGAAGAGAAUCCCAACAUCGAUGGUGGGGAGUAGAAAGUAGGAGAAACACAUUGUCAACAAAAUUCUCUGCAGAAUAGUGAAAGUAAUUACCACAUUAUAUAGUCCUCACCUUGUGCCUGGCCGUGGUCUCAGGGCUUAGUUCAUUCAGUCCUCACAAUAACCUUACAAGGUAGUUGGUAAUGUUUUCCCCAUUUUAUAGUUAAGGAAACAGAGGAGCAGCGAAGUUGAGUAACUUGCCAAAGGUUGCAUAGCCAGUGAGCAGUAAAGGCAGGAUCCAAAGACAGACACGCUGGCACUGGAGUCUGUGUACUUUACCAUUGUGCUAAACCAUAAUGACAACAAAUGUUUAUUGAGCACUAUCUCGCAGGCACUGCACUAACUGCCUGUUUUACAUGGAUCGUGUUGUUUGAUCUUCGCAGUAACCCCAUAUGGUAUUACUUUAAUUCCCAUUUCACAGGUCAGUUAACUAGAGUUUGGAGACAUGGAGUGAUUUGUCCCAAGUCUCAGAAAUUACUUUGUCCAGGUCUAUGAAGAGGAAAAUUACUAGGCUGAAAGAACUCCUUUGCCAUCCCACACUGCAAAGCAGAAGUCUUGAGUUGUUGCUAAUGAGUAGACAACAUGCUGUAGCUCCUCCUGUGGCUUCCUCAAGAGUGAACUAUCCUGAGCCCUGGCCUCAUCACUCAGACCUCCAGCCCUGGCAACCAUCAGGACCCAGACAUGGCUAACAGAGACCUACCAGUUCUCCAGGCCCUUUCUUUCUCCCUUUUGCUCUCAUGUGCUUUCAUUUAAAAUAUCUCAGAUUCAUCAGUUCCAUUCACCCAUCUUUUUCCCACAGAUCCCCUGAAUAAAGGAGAAGCAGACACUGUUUGCA
rnacentral:lncRNA from 12 species